rnacentral:rRNA from 1 species
GGCGCACGGGUGAGGAACGCGUAGGUAAUCUACCCUCUGGCGGGGGACAACACUCCGAAAGGAAUGCUAAUACCGCAUAAGACCACGCUCUCUACGGUGAGAGUGGUAAAAGGCGCCUCAAAGCGCCACCAGAGGAUGAGCCUGCGUCCCAUCAGCUUGUUGGUAAGGUAAUGGCUUACCAAGGCUAAGACGGGUAGCUGGUCUGAGAGGAUGAUCAGCCACACUGGUACUGGAACACGGACCAGACUCCUACGGGAGGCAGCAGUGAGGAAUAUUGGGCAAUGGGCGAAAGCCUGACCCAGCCACGCCGCGUGUGUGAUGAAGGCCUUCGGGUCGUAAAGCACUGUGGGGAGAGACGAACAUGCGCAUGAGGAAAUGCUUGCGCACUGACGGUACCUCCUUAGCAAGCACCGGCUAACUCUGUGCCAGCAGCCGCGGUAAUACAGAGGGUGCAAACGUUGCUCGGAUUUACUGGGCGUAAAGCGCGUGUAGGCGGACUCGCAAGUCGGUUGUGAAAUCCCUGGGCUC